UACAGAGGGUGCAAGCGUUGUUCGGAAUCAUUGGGCGUAAAGCGCGUGUAGGCGGCUUGGCAAGUCAGUUGUGAAAGCCCGGGGCCCAACCCCGGAAUUGCAUCUGAAACUGCCUAGCUAGAGUCCCGGAGAGGAAGGCAGAAUUCCCCGGUGUAGGGGUGAAAUCCGUAGAUAUCGGGAGGAAUACCAGUGGCGAAGGCGACUUCCUGGCCUGUUCUUGACGCUGAGGCGCGAAAGCUAGGGUAGCAAACGGG
rnacentral:rRNA from 1 species